UACGGACUGUGCAAACGUUAUUCGGAAUCACUGGGCUUAAAGAGUCCGUAGGCGGUCUGUUAGGUGAGGUGUGAAAUCCCCCGGCUCAACCGAGGAAUUGCGCUUCAAACCGGCAGGCUAGAGGAAGAUAGAGGUGGACGGAACUGAUGGUGGAGCGGUGAAAUGCGUUGAUAUCAUCAGGAACACCGGAGGCGAAGGCGGUCCACUGGGUCUUUUCUGACGCUGAGGGACGAAAGCUAGGGGAGCGAACGGG
rnacentral:rRNA from 1 species